AGGGUUCGAUUAUGGCUCAGGACGAACGCUGGCGGCGUGCUUAACACAUGCAAGUCGAACGGGAGGACAUGGGAAGCUUGCUUCCUAUGGACUCUAGUGGCAAACGGGUGAGUAACGCGUAAGCAACCUGCCCUCCGGAUGGGGACAACAGCUGGAAACGGCUGCUAAUACCGAAUGCGUUUUAGCUAUCGCAUGAUAGUUAAAAGAAAGGUGGCCUCUGAAUAUGCUACCGCCGGGGGAGGGGCUUGCGUCUGAUUAGCUGGUUGGAGGGGUAACGGCCCACCAAGGCGACGAUCAGUAGCCGGUCUGAGAGGAUGAACGGCCACAUUGGAACUGAGACACGGUCCAG
rnacentral:rRNA from 1 species